CCUGAAUCCAGCCACUCUUCUGCCACUUCCCAAGGGGGGAAUUGUGUACCACUGGUAUAGCCUGGAUAUCAACCCAGAAGUUCUAGCAGAUCUGCAACUACCUGCACUUGCACCUCCAGAAGUUCUAGCAGAUCUGCAACUACCUGCACUUGCACCUCCACAUGAUGAACAAUCAGUGGCCCUACUCCACUGUACUUUGUGGGUUAGGGAUGAACCAGGCCCUGAUAUGAACUAUGAGGCAGAAGUAUUCCAACUCAAAGAAAUCCAAAUUACCCUGACUGACUUGUUUUGGGACCUCACAGGUACCAUGCUCAUCCUAGUCCACCUCCCAGAGAGUGUGACACAUCUCUAUCACCAUUGGGAAACAUCUAUCCCACACAUAUCUCUCACCAGACCUCCCGACAUCUCGUGGAAAGACCUAGGCCGAUGGCCAAGACCUGGAGUCAAAUGAACCAAGAACAACUGACUUCUAUGGGGACCAGCAAAAAGACUAUUAACUACUGUACAGCAGGGUACCCUAGGUACCACACAGACGUCUGUGAGGACCCACUCAUCAUAGACUGUGACCCUGAUAUUUCCCCACUUAGCUGAUCAGGCCGCUAAGGAAGCAGCACAACAAGGAUGGGAAGUGGACAGAAGAGUGGCCACAGACGCAGUGCCCAUCUACACCAUGCAGACACUGCCUACGGAUCUUAGGCUUCUAAAGGAACAACCAGCUACUGCUACUCCCCAGGAGAAACAAAGUUGGAAGAACAAAGGAGCUGUACUCCGUGAUGAUGUUUACACUAUCAAUCUCAAGUUUUGCC